AUGAUAAUGAUGAAGCAAUAAUACUAUAAUCCAACACUUGAUCUGAGACAUUUACUGUCGAUUGAUGUUUAAAAAUAUAUGCUUCUGAAUCUAC
rnacentral:snoRNA from 1 species